UCCCGCGAGCCGUGUUUACAUUCUGCCGACAGGUCCACGUUGCCGAGCCAUUCGGCCUUCUGAUUGGCCGCGGCGCGCGGCGCGGCUCCGCCCAGAGGUGGAGCCCGACGUGGCGAGCUGUCUAAGCGCGCGUGUUGCUAAUGCCAGGCCGAGAGCCGCGGCCGGCGCAGGAGCCAUUCUGGUUGCACGGGCUCCCGGGAACGCAGCUGACACGGCUUUGCAGGGUUAACGAGCUGUUAACCGGCAACUAUCUGGAAUCCUAAUAAGAUGUCAAGGCGCAGUAGUCGUUUACAAGCCAAGCUGCACCAGCCCUGCCAGGAUACGUCUCCUCAAGAACUGCAGCUGCCAGAGUCUCUUCAGAACAGAAAAAGGAAAGCAAUGCAGGUAAGUAGGAAUUGAAACGGUCUCCUGGAGCCAGAUGUGGUUAAGAAUAUGAGCAGGAUUGCGUUGUUCAAGCUGAAACAAGAAUUCACGGCAUUGAUAUUGGUAAAACCACCUUCCUCUUGGCCUCAUCCUCACAUCUGAAAUGUAGAGAUAAUGGGUGGAAU
rnacentral:lncRNA from 1 species